rnacentral:misc_RNA from 1 species
AUUAUUCAUUGAAUUGUAAUAAGUAAUAUAGUUUCUUUUCAAGUGUGCUGCUGCCAUCGGCAAGGGAAACAGUAGGGAAAUCAUGUACAAAUUUUGGUUUAUUCUCUCUGAGCCUCAUAUUCCAACAUCGUCUUCCCAUAUUUAUUAUAAUUGGGAAAAUUUUUCAACGCUUUUUUCAACCCACUUAGAAUUUUGAAUAAUUCAUUUUUUAUGUACAUACAAGAGCAUUGGAUGCGUUUCCUACGUAAUCUAUAAUGAUAAAAACAAAGAAAUU